GGAGGUGUCGCAUAGUGGUCAAUUGCGCACGCUUGGAAAGCGUGAGCCUUUCGGCUUCGCAGGUUCGAAUCCUGUCACCUCCG
rnacentral:tRNA from 3 species